CUAAAUCCACGUCGCCACCGUUGCUUCCACUACCAAAAAUCUCUCAACAAACCAAUCAAAUCUCUAUAUUAUACACCUUCUCCCACAAUCUCAGCAGUCCGUCGUUCCUGCAGUUUUCUUCCCUUUCAGUGAAGUGUGGAGGAGAAACGCAACGAGUUGUGAUUUUUUUUCAAUAUCUUCUCUUCUGCAAGUUCUGCUUCUUCCGCGAAGUGGGAAGGAGAAAUCGAGAGAGUGUGACUUUUCAAUACCUUCUGCUUGGGCAAAUUUUCUUCUCUUCAAAGUAGGGCCGCAAACCCUGCUCGGACUAGUGUACACCCAGUAGAUUGUGCGUUAUCUCUUUGGAGUUGGCCGGUCUAGUGACUUGGUUCGUGGCCACGUUCCUUGUCAUGUAUGUUCAGGGUGAUGGUGAUGUGGAUGGAAAAUGGUUGCAACCGAAAUUUAUGUAAAAAUAUUUUUAGUGACUUGGGUUCUUUUCAUAUAAAACCCCAAGAUCACUCGGUAUGGCUUGACAAACUGUUUUGGCAUGUGUCUACUGAGUGCACCAAGUACUCAGCCCUGCAUAUUGUUUUUUUCUUAAUGUGUAGAUUGAGCGGCGACGGACGGGGAGGAUGUUGAGCAGAAUUCAUGGAUUAUUUAUGGCUUGCUUAGUAUCGUUGGAUAUGUCGUGUCUUCAUACUCAGCAUUUUCCGUGUCUUGAACGCUUCCGCAGUGUGUCUUUUCCUUAAAAUUCUUUUAGCAUUGAGGGUCAAACUCUUUUCAAAAUUGUUUACUUUCUAGUCUUUAUUUCUUUAGAAUUGGUACUUUGUUGAAAUGAUACUAUGUUGUUUUCUAAGUUAUUUCAAUUA